UCUGGUUGAUCCUGCCUGAACUGAUGUGUUUAUUUCAAAGAUUAAGCCAUGCAUGUAUAAGUUUAAUCGUUUAUCGAGAAACCGCGAACGGCUCAUUACAAUGGCCAUUAUUUACUUGAUCUUGAUUGUCUAAAUGGAUAACUGUGGAAAAGCUAGAGCUAAUACAUGCACUAAAGCUUUGUCCUUACGGAAAAGCGCAUUUAUUAGAACAAAACCACGCGGCUUCGGCUGCUUCUUGUUGACUCAGAAUAACUUAGCUGACCGCAUGGCCUUGUGCCGGCGGCGUGUCUUUCAAGCGUCCACUUUAUCAACUUGACGGGAGCAUAAUCGACUCCCGUGGUGGUGACGGAUAACGGAGGAUCAGGGUUCGACUCCGGAGAAGGGGCCUGAGAAAUGGCCACUACGUCUAAGGAUGGCAGCAGGCGCGCAAAUUACCCACUCUCGGCUCGAGGAGGUAGUGACGAGAAAUAACGAGACUGUUCUCUUUGAGGCCGGUCAUCGGAAUGGGUACAAUUUAAACCCUUUAACGAGUAUCAAGCAGAGGGCAAGUCUGGUGCCAGCAGCCGCGGUAAUUCCAGCUCUGCAAAUACAUAGAAUUAUUGCUGCGGUUAGAAAGCUCAUAGUUGGAUUCGUAUCGAUACCUUGGAACCCUUCGGGUGUCUCUAGGUGUUAUCGAUUUAUCGUAAUGUUCGGUUUUGAGUCCUUAACAGGAUUCUUAACAGGCAUUGCAAGUUUACUUUGAACAAAUCAGAGUGCUUCAAACAGGCGUUUUCGCUUGAAUGAUCGUGCAUGGAAUAAUAGAAAAUGAUUUCGGUUCAGUUUUAUUGGUUUUACGGACUGAGAUAAUGGUUAACAGAGACAAACGGGGCAUUUGUAUGGUCCCGUGAGAGGUGAAAUUCUUGGACCGUGGCCAGACAAACUACAGCGAAAGCAUUUGCCAAGAAUGUUUUUAUUAAUCAAGAACGAAAGUCUUCCGGUUCCGGGGGAAGUAUGGUUGCAAAGCUGAAACUUAAAGGAAUUGACGGAAGGCACCACCAGGAGUGGAGCCUGCGGCUUAAUUUGACUCAACACGGGGAAACUCACCCGGCCCGGACACUGUGAGGAUUGACAGAUUGAUAGCUUUUUCAUGAUUCAGUGGAUGGUGGUGCAUGGCCGUUCUUAGUUCGUGGAGUGAUUUGUCUGGUUUAUUCCGACCAGACAAAUGGUGGACUUUGCUCGUGGCUGCUUGAGCUUCCUUACGGGGCGGCGCUUGUGGACUAGUAGUGAGGACUGCUUGUGGAGUGCUUCAGCUGCGUGCUAUUUCGCAAGAUAUAGUACUUCGAUUGGCGCUGAACAACCAGUUUAGAACUGGCACGAACUCCGGGAAUCCGACUGUCUAAUUAAAACAGAGGAGACGGAUGGUCCUUGCAGGACGUUGACCGUGUCUGAUUUCUGCCCAGUGCUCUGAAUGUUAAGCCAAGGAAACUUGAUUAAGCGCGGGUAAACGGCGGGAGUAACUAUGACUCUCUUAAGGUAGCCAAAUGCUCGUCGGCUAACUACCGACGCGCACGAAUGGAUCAACGAGAUUCCCACUGUCCCUAUCUACUAUCUAGCGAAACCACAGCCAAGGGAACGGGCUUGGCAAAUUUAGCGGGGAAAGAAGACCCUGUUGAGCUUGAC
rnacentral:rRNA from 1 species